GCUGCUUCUGGGCAGGUCAGAUUAUGCAAAUCCAAGCUUUUGUCAAAGUCCUAGCCCCAAGUGGUUGUUUGAUAUUUAAGUUAACAAUUUGGCUAACAUUUUGUUAAAUUAUAGGUUAAAGUGUUGGAUAAAAAUAAACUUCAGGGAGAUAAGCGUAAGUUUUUCAAACUACUGGAUGUAAGUAUAUUUUAUUUCUAAUUUCAAAGUUUGUUUUGUAAUUUACUCAUUACUCAGGGAUACUUUUGACUUUUUAUAUGAGGUAAACGAAUUCACUAAUGCCGCUAAUUUAACUAGGUGUAAGUGUGGGUUUUACAAGCUAUUGGGUGUAAGUAUAAUAAACGUAAACCUCAAGGGGAUUUUUGUAACUUACUCUAGAAUCAUAUGUGUAAACAUUUGAAAAUUUGCCUUUUAUUUUUAACUCAAUGAACUCCAAUAACGAGCUUGCUAAAUAUACUACUCAAGACCUACUACUAACAAGUAAUUUAAAAGCCAUUCAGUCAAAUGAAUUAUAGAAAAUGGAAUAACAUAUGGUUUAAUAUCCAAAUAGCAUAAUCAAGUCAUAUCUUAUGACCAGAGGGACUAUAUUUCAUAAUAUGGAACUAGAUCCUUAUUUUGCUAACCAAUCCUGAUCUAAUCCUGAUCCAAAGAUGAGAUCCGGAUUGUUUAGGGCCACUUUGUUCCGAAUCGAAAGAUCCGGAUCAUUAAUCAUGUGAUUUUAACAACUGUCUUUAGCUAACCAGGUCCUAUGUUCUUAAACUUCCUUGGACUAGGGUUCCUUUGAAUGAUACAAUAAUUUGCACGAUGUAUCAUCUGCAAAGGAAUCACGUGACAUGAAUUUGCGGCGAUCACUUUAGAUAUCAAAUAAUGCACUAUACUUCUAGAACAUAUCAAUGUGGGAAGUACUGAGCUUUAUCCUUUUUGCAGCAUCAUUGCAUGGAUGCAUAGAACAAUAAUAAAACUUUUGGAUUUUUUAUAUCGUAAUUAAUUCUUGAGCAAUUGACUGAUGAGAAUCUAGGAAAAAAGACAGAAAAAUCAAUGAACAAGUAGUGCCUCUACAGAACCUAUAAAACUAAUUCAGUUACAGAAUUUCUGACUCUGCCUGCGAACUAUAGACCUUCUAUUGCUUUGGCACUACCUUUUGACUAC
rnacentral:lncRNA from 1 species